AUUGAACGCUGGCGGCAUGCCUUACACAUGCAAGUCGAACGGUAACAGGUCUUCGGAUGCUGACGAGUGGCGAACGGGUGAGUAAUACAUCGGAACGUGCCCGAUCGUGGGGGAUAACGAAGCGAAAGCUUUGCUAAUACCGCAUAAGAUCUACGGAUGAAAGCAGGGGACCGCAAGGCCUUGCGCGAACGGAGAGGCCGAUGGGCGAUGAGGUAGGUGGUGGGAUAAAAGUUUACCAAGCCGACGAACUGUAGCUGGUCUGAGAGGACGAACAGCCACAUCGGGGGUUGACCAGCGCCCCGGGGACUGAGGGAGGGAGCCGUGGGGUAUUGUGGGAAAUGGGGGGAAACCUUGAACAACCGUGGCGAGUGUGAGGUAGAAGCCCUGCGGGUUGGAACUGGUUUUUUACGGAACAAAAAGAUUUUAGUUGAGAACUAGGGUACAUGACGGUACCGUAAGAAUAAGCACCGGCUAACUACGUG
rnacentral:rRNA from 1 species